GAUGAACGCUGGCGGCGUGCUUAACACAUGCAAGUCGAACGGUGAAGCAGAGCUUGCUCUGUGGAUCAGUGGCGAACGGGUGAGUAACACGUGAGCAACCUGCCCCUGACUCUGGGAUAAGCGCUGGAAACGGCGGCUAAUACUGGAUAUGAGCUGCGACCGCAUGGUCAGCAGUUGGAAAGAUUUUUCGGUCUGGGAUGGGCUCACGGCCUAUCAGCUUGUUGGUGAGGUAAUGGCUCACCAAGGCGUCGACGGGUAGCCGGCCUGAGAGGGUGACCGGCCACACUGGGACUGAGACACGGCCCAGACUCCUACGGGAGGCAGCAGUGGGGAAUAUUGCACAAUGGGCGAAAGCCUGAUGCAGCAACGCCGCGUGAGGGAUGACGGCCUUCGGGUUGUAAACCUCUUUUAGCAGGGAAGAAGCGAAAGUGACGGUACCUGCAGAAAAAGCGCCGGCUAACUACGUG
rnacentral:rRNA from 1 species